UUAACCCAGUGUGGCUCAGAGGGUUGCUGAAGGACUCGGAGAUAGCUGCAACAGGACAUCACUCACUCUCCAGGCAUUUUUAUUUUAUAGUGCAAAAGGAAGAACUUAUGCGGGCGGCCAGCAGUUGGAAUGUAAAUUGCUUUGUAGUAUUUAAAUUCAGCAUGGACCCGUGGGCAGCUGAGCUGGUGGUACGUGCGAGAGAAACUACUGAAUGGAAUUUUUCUGGGGGAGAGGUGAACACAGUCCUCCACCCACAUAUUAUGCAGAUGAGUUUCCCAUAUUUGGGGAAAUAGGAGGGGCCAGCACAGCUGGAUUGCAAUGGAUAAGCCUCACCCAGGGAAAACCACCUUCAUGAUCAUGGUAUCUCCCCUGCCAGGCAUACUCUGAAUGCAUAUAUCAAAAAUAUUCUUGUUUCCCCCACUUGCAAGACAGAGAUGCAGAAAAUAGAAGAUAAAGGAAGUUAUUUUGGAAAUAAUGCACAAUUUAUCCCUGUUUCC